UCUUUCCAAAUCCAAGGUGUACUAAAAAAUCGCGAAUUACAACACGACAAGAGGUCAGGGGUUUAGGAUUUAAUACUGGUAACCAAAUGUAAACAAAGACGUUCAAGAUAGGCGAUAAAUCCUUCAAAAAAGGCUCUUCUUUUUGGUACUUCUUCUAUGCUUUGCUACCGAAGAACGCAGGGUUCAAAGUCCAACCUGCACCACUUGCGGGAAAAUUAAAUAUGGCUGCGCUAACUCCGAAAAGGCGUAUUUAAAGUGUGUGUGUUAAGUUAUUUUUAUUGUUUUCUUUCUGACAUCCCGUUAAACUUUUGUCAGCCUACAUGUAAUAUGCCAGGGUUUUUUACAGGGUUUUUUUACAUUUGAUUGGAAAUUUACGUGUGUUUAUGAUGGCUUUAGGUUAAGAAAAAUUAUAAGAGGAUGGUAUGAUUAAGGGGAAUCUUGGAAGGCUCAGGGGGCGUGUUUUGUAGAUAAAAGUUAUCGGAAUUGAUGACAAGAGGAAUUAUGCUCACGAACGACAAAAAAUUUUCAGGCCACAAACAAAUUGUUAAAAUUUCUCAAUCGUUAGCGGAUUUUUUUUCAAACUUCAGACCCCCUCCCCCCUUAGCGGCGAUAUCCCACUAACGGAGCCCGAAAAAAAUUUUCGAAGGACCCUAAGUCUGUUUAUAAUUAUUUGCGUUGCAAAAUGCAGUUUUUUAAAAUUUUGUGUAAAUUUUUGUGGAAUUAAACCACAUGCAAUAAUACUGAAAGAACAAAAUUUUGUAGAAUCAGACUUCACUGUAAGCUGUUGUAUAAGUGGAUGUCUUUACAUUUUGUAAUAUAAACUAUUGUUGGGGAAAACUAACUGUAUGCGAUGUCAUUUUUGGUGGAAGAAAAUUCCAUGGUUUCACGGUUUUGUUUUUCUUGAGAAUUUUACAAAAUUUUGUAGGGAUAAUGUUUGCUGAUGAUAAAAAAAUACUUAAUGUUCUAACUGAAACUGUUUUUGUUUUUUAUAGUUUGUAAUCUAACAGGCGAGGACUGUAUACACUGAAAUGAAUGAUUUUUCCAAAUUUUGAUGUGUUUUAUAACCUUUUUUUGGUAUAUUAAUGGGUAUUGGCAACAUGCGAUAUGCUGAAUGAAAUUAUUUUUGUUGAUUUAGAUGUGUUUCUCAAAAACCAAUCUGUUUUACAUUUUGUGCAAACUUUUGUUUAAGAACGUUAUACAAUAUUUCCAAAAUAAUGAGCUUUUUUAUUCAAGUUUAUUCUUAGCUUAUUGAUUUUUUUGACAUUUAAGUUCAAAAUUGUUGGUAAAGGGCAGUACGGAUCAUUAUACUAAAAAAAGAAAAUUUUUUUUCUUUUUAACUGGUUGAUUUUUACAUUUUGUGUAAAUGUUUUGUGGAAGAGGAUGGUAUGCAACUGAAAUGACUGAUUUUUGUAGAUUUAAAUUUGAUGUUUUCCAAACUUAGGCUUUUUCAUAUUUUUGUAUGAGCUUUUAAGGGAAAGACAAUAUUAAAAAUGUGUAACUCUUGCAGGCCCACUUUUUGACAUUUCAGAAUAAAAUACUGAGUGUUUUCAACAUAAUCACUUAUAAGAUGUACAUAUUUUAGAUGCGUUAUUUCUGACAUUGUUAUUAUCCGUGUUGUGACUGUCAGUGUUGUAACUGUCGGUGUUCUUACUGUCGGUUUUGUGAGUAUUGGUGUUGUGAGUGUCGAUGUUGUGAGUGUCGUUGUUGUAACUUUUUGUCAACUAAAUUAUACGCCUUGUAAGCUGUUCUUUUUGAUUUUGUGUAAGAUUUGUGUGGAGGAUUUAAUGCGAUUUGACAUUUGAUAUUGUGUGUAAAAUUUUCAGAACAUUUAUUUUUGUAAAUGCACUGCUGGCGUCAGCAAAACAUCUAAAGCAACCUAUUUUUCCAUUGGCCUUUUGCCUAAGUGGAUUUUUCCACGGGUCUUAUUGACUAGUCUAUAUAAUAAUACACCAGUUCUGUGUCUCUGUAACAGGCAAAGUGGAUAUGUUCAUUUUCCUUUGAUCUUACCGAAAUUUUCUUUGAAGUAACCGAAAAAUGCAUGUCUAAUAUGUUAAAUUUUCUGACGUUAUGGCGCGACGUCAAUAACACUACUUUAACGUCAAUAUCCUAUAUUAAAUUAAUUAAGCCGUUACAGUGCACAUAAAACUUUGAGGCCAAAUAACGUGGAAACGAGGUGGUGACGUCAAUGGAAAGUUAAUUAAGAUUAGUGAAGCCAUUACAAUGCACUUAAAACUUUGAGGCCAAAUAACUUGGAAACGAGGUGGUGACGUCAAUGUUUUUUCACCGCGUGGGUAACUAGGGACAACCUGGGACCAAUUUGGGUAAGUUUUUCAAACCUGGGUCCCCGAAUCCGUUUCGGAAUGGACGGUUUGAUGACGUCAUCAAAAAACCUUUAAACCUUGAUAUCUCUGCAACCGUUUGUCAAAGAUACAUGAUCA